UUGGAUGUUUUUUAUACAAAAGAGCGACAACUUCCUUACCUUUCCCCGCCAACCCUAAAAAAAGAUGUCUCUCUUGCAUGGAGUCAGUUUACUUACUACAAGUUAUGAGUACUAUGUAGGCCGGCUAAUUUCCCAGGCUUGGGAAA
rnacentral:sRNA from 1 species